UUUAUUCUGCACAAAGUUUUCCUUGUGAGGUCUCAAUUUCUCUGAGGUCCUGGAACAUUUUUCUGGCAACUUUAUCCAGCAUUCGGGAACCACAUGUCAAAGUGAGGCUAUAGUUCUGCCUAUUCCAGAAUAUUGGACCUUUUGAAGAUCUCAGGAAAUAUCAAGCUGGUACAGUUUUGGGUAAUGGGAAAAAUGAACUGAGUUUCAACCAGGCUGCGGGAUCCUUGAAUCUGACUAAUAACUCUUGGUCUUAGUCACCAGUGUACUCCAGUACCUUCACUUCCUGGUAGAAAAGAUUGUUGCCCUUUGGAUCCCAAGACCCUAAACUGUCAUCUCACACCACCUUCUACUACGAACCAAGAUUAUGCCUGUUGAUCAAGACAUCUCCUCCCUCUUCCC